UACGAAGGGGGCUAGCGUUGCUCGGAAUCACUGGGCGUAAAGGGCGCGUAGGCAGGUCUUUAAGUCAGGGGUGAAAUCCUGGAGCUCAACUCCAGAACUGCCUUUGAUACUGAAGAUCUUGAGUUCGGGAGAGGUGAGUGGAACUGCGAGUGUAGAGGUGAAAUUCGUAGAUAUUCGCAAGAACACCAGUGGCGAAGGCGGCUCACUGGCCCGAUACUGACGCUGAGGCACGAAAGCGUGGGGAGCAAACAGG
rnacentral:rRNA from 1 species